GUCCCCCAGCAGAUGGUCCGACCACACCCCCAGUCAACCUUCGCCCAUCAGCCUGUCACCGAACCCCCCCACCUUCAGCUACUCGCCGGUCUACGCCACCAUCGGCUCUCCUGGGCACAGUUCCCCCGCUUCCCUCUCUGCCCCUUCCCCCAUCUCUGCCACCCUCCCUAAAAUCCAUCCCAUCUCCAAACCCCCCCGGCGCAGACCCGGCCUGCCCCCGCCCCGCGCCCCCAGCCCUCAGCCUCUGGAACACACUGGUGCAGAGGAGAACAUGGCCACAGAUUCUUUGAGCAUCCAGUAUCUACCCAUCAUCAACGUUCAGCCAGACGUUAUUCCGGACAAGAUCUCUGGCACCCCCUUCAGGAUUUCUGUGACACCAUGUGAAUCGGAGGAGGAGAGCACUCAACUUUAAACUGAGCAGAGAUUAAACUCUCUGACUAUCCAUCUAUUUGUUGCCACCACUAUACAGAAAACUACUGCUGCUUCUGGACCACUGCUAAAGAGAGCCACCUCCCAAAAAAAACUUUUUAAACACCUUUCCAAACCUCUCCAAACACCUGCCCAAAACACCUCUCAAAACACCUUCUACACACCCUCUUAACACUCCCCAAACACAUACACUAAGCCCCCUCAACAACCCCAACAACAAACACUCCCAAUACCUCCUCCAAAAUCCCAAACACCUCCUUCAAACACUCAUCUAGCACCUAUGCAAAAAAACCCUCAUCCACCCCAAACUCUUUUUUACAAUAACCCUACAAAAACACCCUUCAAAACUUCUCCAAACACUUUUCUAACACCUCCCCAACACUCCCAAACUCUAAACCUUUUCAAACACACCCCAAACUCACAUCCAGUACCCUCCUAACACACCCAACCCCCCGGCAAACUCCUCUCCAAACAUUCCCCCAAAAAACUCCAUUCAACACCUCUCCAAACACUCCUCCAAACGCUCCGUCAGACACUUCUCAGCGCCCCGUUCUUACUGUAGGAAUGUUAUUACACAGCGAAUGUGUUCAACAAGAGAAUCAUUAAUUGAUUUGUGGAAUUAAUGAACAAAACUUUAGUGUUAUGAAUGUUUUAUGUAUUUAUGUAAAAAAAUGUCAUGUCUAAUGAUCAAUUGUAAAUUAUGUAGAAACACUGGGCCAAUGAAGUGUAGUGGUGUAAUGAUCUUCAGAUGAUCGCUGCAGUCAAGACAAAUCAAAUCAAUUUUUAUUGUCAAUAAUGCAUAUAUGUACAGGACAUACAGAGGAUUGAAAUUACAUUACUGUUCUUCCAAAAAUUAUAACUCUAAAAGAAUGAGAGACACUAAAUGUACAAAAAACAAUAAGGACAAACCAACUCCAUCAAACAGUUCCUUUAAAUUAUAAAAAAAUGUGUGCCAUAGGUCUCUGUUUUAGGACCAUCACAGAUCCUCCUAAACCUACCGCCAACUUUAAUGCAGUUCAUGAACAACAAUAAUCUACAGGGGUUGGACAAUAAAACGGCAACACCUGGUUUUAGACCA
rnacentral:lncRNA from 1 species